rnacentral:lncRNA from 1 species
UUGUUUUUUGCUACUUGAUGAUGAUUUUUUUACAUGUUUAUUUAUCAUGUUUAUAAAUUAUUGGUUUGAUUGGUCCUAUGGUCCAUAGUUUUAAAUGUUUUUUUUUCACUUCGUCUACAAGAUCAAUUUCAUCCUAACUUUUGACCUUUUUUUGGCCUUGGGCUAUUAACACGACAAUUUUUCUUGUUUUUGACCAAUUCUUGUUAAUUUUGAUAAAUAGAUAAAACACUAUACAAAAAUAAUAAAGAUGAAGAAAACCCGAUUUAAAAAAAUGCUGAAAUGAUUGAAACUUUUGGAUGACUUAUAAGAAACAGUAGACAGUAAAAUAUCAGUACAAGAUCCAUAAUAAUGGGAGUUUGACCAAAUCAUUGAAUGAUCAUUUAUAUGACUUAUUGCCCAUUAAUGAUGAUUUUGUACUAACUUUUAUGUCUCAAAAACUUUACAGUUGAAAUAAUAAAGCAUGCAAGUCCAAAGUUAAAAUGCCUUGCUUGCAAACUUUCUUUAGCUAUUUGAUCAGAUAUUGUUAUUUUGAUUGACAUAUACAUUCAAUGGUUAGGUGGAGUAACAGUCUUCUAACUGUAUUAUUGGCCUACACAUUUAAUUUAGGUGUAUAUCUUAAUUACUUGUCUGAGCAAAUAAUCAAAGAAAGUUUGCAAGCAAGGCAUUUAAACUCAUGAUUUGCAUGCUUUAAUAUUUUAAUAGAUAGAUCAAAUUUGCACAGAGCAAACACGGAAACCAUUUACAAGAUUUAAAUGCCAGUAUGACAAAUAAAAUUGAGAAUGCAAACAAUCUUAAAAAAUGCCUAUGAGAACAAACCAAUAAAGAAUAAAUGAAACAACGAGUUUUUGUUUACUUGUUAAAAAUUGCACUUUAUACAUGUUUUUAAAUCUUAUUUAACAUUGCCAUAAAAGUGUGAGGUUUGCCUAGCCACAAAACC